rnacentral:rRNA from 1 species
UACGUAGGGGGGCAAGCGUUGUCCGGAUUUAUUGGGCGUAAAGAGCGUGUAGGCGGUUUGGUAGGUCCGCUGUGAAAACUCGAGGCUCAACCUCGAGACGCCGGUGGAAACCAUCAGGCUAGAGUCCGGAAGAGGAGAGUGGAAUUCCUGGUGUAGCGGUGAAAUGCGCAGAUAUCAGGAGGAACACCGGUGGCGAAGGCGGGUCUCUGGGCCGAUACUGACGCUGAGGAGCGAAAGCGUGGGGAGCGAACAGG